GAUGAACGCUAGCGGCAGGCCUAACACAUGCAAGUCGAGGGGUAGAACACUUCGGUGUUUGAGACCGGCGCACGGGUGCGUAACGCGUAUGCAAUCUACCUUGUACAGGGGAAUAGCCCAGAGAAAUUUGGAUUAAUGCCCCAUAGUAUAUAACCUUCGCAUGUUGGUUAUAUUAAAGUUCCAACGGUACAAGAUGAGCAUGCGUCCCAUUAGUUAGUUGGUAAGGUAACGGCUUACCAAGACGAUGAUGGGUAGGGGUCCUGAGAGGGAGAUCCCCCACACUGGUACUGAGACACGGACCAGACUCCUACGGGAGGCAGCAGUGAGGAAUAUUGGUCAAUGGGCGCAAGCCUGAACCAGCCAUGCCGCGUGCAGGAAGACGGUCCUAUGGAUUGUAAACUGCUUUUAUACAGGAAGAAACAACUCUACGUGUAGAGUCUUGACGGUACUGUAGGAAUAAGGAUCGGCUAACUCCGUGCCAGCAGCCGCCGUAA
rnacentral:rRNA from 1 species